rnacentral:rRNA from 1 species
AGAGUUUGAUCAUGGCUCAGAUUGAACGCUGGCGGCAUGCCUUACACAUGCAAGUCGAACGGCAGCACGGGAGCAAUCCUGGUGGCGAGUGGCGAACGGGUGAGUAAAGCAUCGGAACGUGCCCAGUCGUGGGGGAUAACGUAGCGAAAGCUACGCUAAUACCGCAUACGAUCUGUGGAUGAAAGCGGGGGACCGUAAGGCCUCGCGCGAUUGGAGCGGCCGAUGUCAGAUUAGGUAGUUGGUGGGGUAAAGGCUCACCAAGCCGACGAUCUGUAGCUGGUCUGAGAGGACGACCAGCCACACUGGGACUGAGACACGGCCCAGACUCCUACGGGAGGCAGCAGUGGGGAAUUUUGGACAAUGGGCGCAAGCCUGAUCCAGCAAUGCCGCGUGCAGGAAGAAGGCCUUCGGGUUGUAAACUGCUUUUGUACGGAACGAAACGGUCCUGGUUAAUACCUGGGGCUAAUGACGGUACCGUAAGAAUAAGCACCGGCUAACUACGUGCCAGCAGCCGCGGUAAUACGUAGGGUGCAAGCGUUAAUCGGAAUUACUGGGCGUAAAGCGUGCGCAGGCGGUUUUGUAAGACAGGCGUGAAAUCCCCGGGCUUAACCUGGGAAUUGCGCUUGUGACUGCAAGGCUGGAGUGCGGCAGAGGGGGAUGGAAUUCCGCGUGUAGCAGUGAAAUGCGUAGAUAUGCGGAGGAACACCGAUGGCGAAGGCAAUCCCCUGGGCCUGCACUGACGCUCAUGCACGAAAGCGUGGGGAGCAAACAGGAUUAGAUACCCCGGUAGUCC